CAAAUUUGGAAAGGAUAGAUACCCCGCCAGCGCAACACCACCACCACCUCCCCUCCUCUUCAAUUAACUUACGCUACCAAAUUACCGUGUUUCAAAAUUCACCCUCUUUUCAUUCUCUCGACCUCCCUCUCCGAACAAAUAAUUUAAUCCCUAAUUCAACAAAACCCUAACCCUAACCUAGGUCGCUGCAGCAUUUCCAACACCAAACAAUGGCCAGCGAUUCCGAUGCCUCUCAUCGCAAGCACCGACGAUCUUCCUCCGAUGACGAGGCGGAGAAGUCCUCGAAACGCCACAAACAUCGUCACCAUCACCACCGACAUCGCCACUGCCGUAGCAAGAAGCACGGAGAGGAUACAAAACAAGGCGGUGAAGACAUCGUUCCUGCUACUCUUCCUCCUCCGGUUCCUGUUGCGAAUAGUAAUGGAGCUGAUAAUGAUGACGUGGAGGAAGGGGAGAUCCUUGAGGAGGAAGGUUCUGGUGGCGUCGAUGUCGAGGCCAAUGAAUUGCAUGAAGAAGUACCAGAUUCUCAAAAUCUGGGAUUUGACAAGAGUGACAUUGGUUUUGUGAAUAAUCAUCCAGUUGUUGAUCAGUUUGACAAUGAGGUCUGCCUUCGAAGAGAUUCUAGGGCUGAGCUUCGAGAUGAGCUAGUUUCUAAAAUUGACUCAGAGGAUCUUGCCAAUGGUAAUUUAGGUCGUGAAUACCAUAAAGAUGAUAAGAAGAGGCAUGUGGAAUCUAGGUCCCCUUCAAAGGGAAGUAACAAGCAAAAAAGUAACCUGGAUAUUACAACUGAGGGUGAUGAUAGCAAAUUAAGGGAUUGGAGAAAGUCAUCAUCUUCUGAAAGCAGUGAGAAUAGGCAUAAGAGGGCACAAUCACCUUCGCGUGAAAGGUACCAUUAUGAGAUUCAUUCUAGGAGUAGAUCAAUGUCACGAGAUCUAGUUAGGGAGAGAUCGCGUUCUCGUAGCCUUAUUGAAUACAAGGAUCUUUUGACAAGAAAAAGACACCAUGACAGGGUUGAUUAUGACUCUGAUGGUGAAAGAAUGUCUCGAAACAGCAGGGUUCUGCGACAUGGCAGUAGAGAUUCAGUGAGAAAUGUGGAUAGGGAAAGCAGUGUUAGUUACAACAAGUCUUUUGAUGGAGAGGAUCGGUAUCACAACAAGAAUUCACAGGAUAGAGAGAGGAGCAAGGAGAGGGAACAACGAAGAGAGAAGGAACAAGAGAGAUGCAGGGAGAGGGAGGUGGAUCGGGUUAGGAGAAGGGGGAUGGAACAUGAGAGGAGCAGGGAAAGCUUCCAGAGAAGAAGGGAGAUGGAACAUGAGAGGAGUAGGAAAAGCGACCAUAGAAGGGAGAAGGAUCAAUAUGGGGAGGUAGACUGGGAAAGGAGGAGGGAGAAAGAACAGGGGAGGAGUAGGGACAUGGUGGAGGAGAUAGAUAGAAAAAGACAGCAGGAAACAGAUUUGAGCAAACACAAAAAUAUGCAUGGGGCUAGUGACAGAGAUAGAGACAGGGAGAGAGAAAGGGAGAAGGAUAGGGAUAGGUACAGGGAAAGGGAUAGAGUUAGGGACCAUGAUCGUGGGAACGAACAGGAAAGGGAGAGGCGAAAUGACAGGGAUAGGGAGAAAUCUAGGGAUAAGAGUGAUUCAGAAAAACUCUAUAAUAUCAACAGCAAUUCUUUUGGACAGGGAAGAGACAAUCUAAAGAGAGAUGAAGAUGAACAGGAUGAUUUUGAAAAAAGGAUGGCAUUAAAAUUAGCUGAACAGGAAGAGGAAGAUCUCAAUAGAAUAAAGGAGGAGAGUAGAAAGCGAAGGGAAGCCAUUCUUGAAAAAUAUAGAAAUCAGCAUUUACAGCAGCAGAAUGAGUCUCGAUCAGAAGAUGCAGACAAAGAUAAGGAGCCUUUAGAAGGUCCUGGUAACUCAGCAGCAACCGACAAUGUUGCUCCAGAAACUCUCGAUGGUAGGACAGAUGGUGCUGACGUUUAUGUUGCUGAGACAUUAUUUUCUGUUGGGAAAUCACCUUCACAAAAUGGAAUACAAGUUACUUCUGAGAGGACUUCAGGUGCUGCAGGGCUUGGAGAAGGUUCUCCGAAGAGUGAGAGAUCAGAUGAAAAAUAUUGUGAUGAUAUUUUUGGAGAGACGCCUGUUGGAGUUCGUAAAUCAGGUAAAGGAGAAGGUUUGCCAAUUGUGAGGAGUGGUCUCCAUGACAAUUGGGAUGAUCCUGUAGGGUAUUAUAGCUACCGAUUUGGAGAAGUACUUGAUGGUCGAUAUGAAAUUGUUGCUGCUCAUGGAAAAGGUGUCUUUUCUACAGUAGUUCGUGCGAAGGAUCUGAAGGCUGGCAUUGAUGAACCUGAAGAAGUGGCUAUAAAAAUUAUACGUAACAAUGAAACAAUGCGCAAGGCUGGGGAUACAGAGGUUUCAAUAUUGAAGAAAUUAGCAGGUCAAGAUCCAGAGAACAAGCGUCAUUGCGUUCGUUUUCUUUCAAGUUUCAAGUAUAGAAAUCAUCUUUGUUUAGUUUUUGAAUCUCUUCACAUGAACCUGCGUGAGGUCUUAAAAAAGUUUGGUCGAGAUAUUGGCCUUAAACUAACUGCUGUUAGAGCAUAUGCAAAGCAGCUUUUUAUUGCUCUGAAGCAUCUAAGAAACUGUGGUGUUCUUCACAGUGAUAUAAAGCCUGAUAAUAUGCUGGUAAAUGAGGCAAAAAAUGUGCUGAAGCUUUGUGAUUUUGGUAAUGCGAUGUUUUCUGGUAAAAAUGAAAUUACACCAUACCUUGUAAGCCGGUUUUAUCGUGCUCCUGAAAUAAUUCUUGGUUUGACGUAUGAUCAUCCAAUGGAUGUGUGGUCUGUUGGUUGCUGCUUGUAUGAGCUUUAUACUGGAAAAGUUCUAUUUCCUGGUUCUACAAACAAUGACAUGCUACGACUCCACAUGGAAUUGAAGGGCCCUUUCCCAAAGAAGAUGCUUAAGAAGGGUGCAUUUGUUGACCAACAUUUUGACCGUGAUUCGAAUUUUCAUGCUACAGAGGAAGAUCCUGUCACUAAAAAGAUUAUGAAAAAGAUUAUUGUGAACAUAAAGGCAAAAGAUAUUGGAUCUAUUAUUUCGGGUUCUCCUGGUGAGGAUCCAAAGAUGUUAGCAAACUUUAAAGAUCUUCUAGAAAAACUUUUUGUGUUGGAUCCUGAGAAGAGGAUGACAGUUAAUCAAGCACUAGCUCACCCAUUCAUCACGGGCAAGUGAACCAUGUUGCUGAUUUUCUGACUCCAGAAAUGCUGUUGCGCUAGAUUUUGUACAUUAUGACCUAACUCAUUCAGAUAUCUAAUCAUUGCACAUUAUCUUUAUCUUAUGUGUUCUGGCCUCUGAGCUUUGAGCAGUUUUUGGCAUGGUUGAAGUCAAAACUGGUGAUAUGUGGUCAGCAGUACUCUUUACAGGCGGGUUCAUUUCAGUGGUGUACUGGUUCUAUUUCUUCCCCUGCAUUGAGGCAUCCUUCCAGUGCUUAAAUGCUUAAAAGGCUCCCAGGAGAAGGUACCUUAGCUUGUUUAUUAGGAGCUUAUUUGAUAACCCCUUGAAAGUGCUAAAUAUGCUUUUUAGAUGGCAGUGCUGCUACAUCUGGCAUCCUUUUUUGUUUCACAAUAUGUAUUUGUGUUUGAGACAUGUUAGACUUCAUAGGGAGUCCUUGUUCAUAUUUUUUAUGUGGUUAAUAUUAAUAUAUGUUCUAACUUAGUGAAUGCAUCUGAUCCAUGGCCUGUCAUUCUGGAGGCACUUGUUCUGGAGAUGUGCCGCUGCAAACUUGAAGUGAAAGUAAUUUUUAGGCUCUUCUCUUAUCUCAUCCAUUUGCAGCUCUGGUAAGUAUCUGAAAACAAAUUGGUUACCCAAGAUUAGUACAUUUUUAAAAAUUCUAAAUAUUUGAUAUUUAGGUUUCUUGAAUUUUGAUCUCUAAUGUUGGUAUAGUGUCUGUCACAGAUGCUUCAUAAGAUUCAUGCAUUGCCUCUUAUGUGGUAGUCGGUAUUUCUCUUAUCAAAGUCUUAUUAGUUACUUGAAUAUAGAACAUAGGAUGUGACGAAAUACUAUUGUGAAGCAUAAGCUUCAGUCAAAACUGCACUUGAAAUAGGAAAUCUAGUUGAACUUGUUGACACUUUUUUUACAAGUCUGACCUAACAAUGAUAAAAUUAUAGUUUAAUAUAGACCAAGUAACAUGUUUCUGAGUAGCUGGAUAACUUUCCUCUACGUUUUAACAAGUUAUCUGUGUUAAUUUCAUUUGUUUGAAAAUUGAAACCCUCUUGUGAUGGAUGUGAUCACCGAAACCCAUAGUCACUAUUAGGUGAAGUUUGACCCAAUUGGUUUUUUUAUCUCUAAAUGGCAAUAUAAUCCUUGCAAAAAAAAAAACCGAUACAUGCAGUCAUCAACUUUCAUUUUGUGCCCUUUUUAGUCCCCAUCUAUCAUUGUCAUUUGAGAUGAUGUUUUAGACAUCUGUCAAGCUCAUGUGGCAUUAGACCCAAAUAUUUUUCUGUGAGCCUCAACCAUGACUGGUAACUAUGGAUUGGAAGAAGUUGAGCUGUUUGUCUUUCAUAGCCUACUCUGACAUCACGUGUCGACAUUUACAUUUAGCAAGAGAGCGUUUUGUGUUUGGACACGUUGUCAGGAAAGUAGGUUGUUUGGAGAAGUAUUGUACAAGCUACAGGCCUUCAAGUUUAUUGAUUUUUUAUUUUGUGCACAAAGGGAGAGGCUUGGCAAUAUGUGGUCCAAUGAUAAUGUCAAGUUCCAAGGCUUUCAUCUACCGUCAUGAUCUAUGACCUUAACAACAUGAGAUCUGUAUUCAGUUUCCCAAUUGAGUAUGGCUACAAGGAUUGUUCUAGGUCUAGGUUUGGGUGUAGAAUAGAUAAACAGGGGAUGGAGAGGGAAAGAGAAAGUAAUGAUAGUGAGAUUAAAAUGUAGAUUUGAAUAUUGAUGUCAACAUAAAUGAUGAUGUUGCUAUUUUUUCAUGUGUUUUAAUCGGAUGGGUUCUUUUCCUUUUCUUUUUCAA